UACGAAGGGGGCUAGCGUUGCUCGGAAUCACUGGGCGUAAAGCGCACGUAGGCGGGUUGUUAAGUCAGGGGUGAAAUCCUGGAGCUCAACUCCAGAACUGCCUUUGAUACUGGCGACCUUGAGUCCGGGAGAGGUGAGUGGAACUGCGAGUGUAGAGGUGAAAUUCGUAGAUAUUCGCAAGAACACCAGUGGCGAAGGCGGCUCACUGGCCCGGUACUGACGCUGAGGUGCGAAAGCGUGGGGAGCAAACAGG
rnacentral:rRNA from 1 species